rnacentral:piRNA from 1 species
UCUGGCACACAAAGUAGGUGAGU